GGACUACCGGGGUAUCUAAUCCCGUUUGCUCCCCUGGCUUUCGUGCCUCAGCGUCAGGAAAUGUCCAGAGACUCGCCUUCGCCACUGGUGUUCCACUUGAUAUCUACGCAUUUCACUGCUACACCAAGUAUUCCAGUCUCCCCUCCAUUCCUCUAGCCGGAUAGUAUUCAACGCAGUUUCCGGGUUAGGCCCGGAGAUUUCACGUCAAACUUACCCAACCGCCUACGCACCCUUUACGCCCAGUGAAUCCGAACAACGCUUGGGACCUCUGUAUUACCGCGGCUGCUGGCAC
rnacentral:rRNA from 1 species